rnacentral:misc_RNA from 1 species
GUCCAAGUUCGAUUACACAGCCGCAAACGACGACGUCUAAGGUACAUCGCAACAGUCAAGGUGUCUGGCUCGGCCGCCCCCCGCACGGAACAACUAGAGUAAGCAGGCUACAGUCCACGACAUUCCGAACCGAAUGUCCAACUCGCCCCCUUCCCUCACAUCCCCUCUCCACUUGCUGGGUAUAAGCGCUCCUCAGAGAACGAGAACGGCUCAGAGCAUGAGGCUGGAGACGACGAGACCACCGACGAGGGCGAUUGCGCCCUCGAGACCGCCGGAGAGGGCCGCGGCGCCGUUGCCCUUGCCGGUCGAAGUCGCA